CAGAUCAUGAUGUGCCAAUAAGCUCCAGUUAGCUGCGGCCUUUUCCCCAGGCGGUAGUCCUGCAAUCUGAAUCCAGGAGAUGCAGCUCUGAAUCCAAUAUUUCAGAAGAAUGAAGAUGAAGCAGACCCAGGAGGAACUGUCUGUUGAAGACCCCCCCCCCCACCAAGCUGCCCACCAGAGGCCAAGCUGUACUUGGUGUUUGCCAACAUGCUGUAAUUUCCAGCCUGGUUGCUGUAGCCACAGAGGAAUUUUCAAGGACAAGAACCAGUGCUGGUAAAACUGUGGUCUCUGUGGUUUUCCAUACCGGCUCUCGGCAAGGAUUUUCAAGAAAGGAAUACCAUCUCCAA